rnacentral:rRNA from 1 species
GUGGGGAACAACGUACGGAAACGUACGCUAAUACCGCAUAAUUCUUACGAGAUAAAGCAGGGGAUUGAUUAAAUAUCAACCUUGCGCUUUUAGAUAAUUCCAUGCCGGAUUAGCUAGUUGGUAGAGUAAAAGCCUACCAAGGUUACGAUCCGUAGCUGGUCUGAGAGGAUGAUCAGCCACACUGGGACUGAGAUACGGCCCAGACUCCUACGGGAGGCAGCAGUGGGGAAUAUUGGACAAUGGGGGAAACCCUGAUCCAGUCAUGCCGCGUGUGUGACGAAGGCCUUUGGGUUGUAAAGCACUUUCAGCGAGGAAUAAAAAUUAUAAAAUAAAAAGUUAUAAUUAUGACUGUACUCGCAGAAGAAGCACCGGCUAACUCCGUGCCAGCAGCCGCGGUAAAACGGAGGGUGCAAGCGUUAAUCAGAAUUACUGGGCGUAAAGGGCAUGUAGGUGGUUUAUUAAGCUUUAUGUGAAAUCCCUAUGCUUAACAUAGGAACUGUAUAAAGAACUGACAAACUAGAGUGCAGAAGAGGAAGGUAGAAUUCCAGGUGUAGCGGUGAAAUGCGUAGAUAUCUGGAGGAAUACCAGUGGCGAAGGCGACCUUCUGGGCUGACACUGACACUGAGAUGCGAAAGCGUGGGGAGCAAACAGGAUUAGAUACCCUGGUAGUCCACGCUGUAAACGAUAUCAACUAGCCGUUUGAUUCUUAAAGAAUUUUGUGGCGUAGCUAACGCGAUAAGUUGAUCGCCUGGGGAGUACGGUCGCAAGGCUAAAACUCAAAUGAAUUGACGGGGGCCCGCAUAAGCGGUGGAGCAUGUGGUUUAAUUCGAUGCAACGCGCAGAACCUUACCUACUCUUGACAUCCAAAGUACUUUACAGAGAUGUAAAGGUGCCUUAGGGAACUUUGAGACAGGUGCUGCAUGGCUGUCGUCAGCUCGUGUUGUGAAAUGUUG